GACGUAGGGCGCGAGCGUUGUCCGGAUUUAUUGGGCGUAAAGAGCUCGUAGGCGGCUUGUCGCGUCGUUCGUGAAAACCUGUGGCUCAACUACAGGCUUGCGGUCGAUACGGGCAGGCUGGAGUUCGGUAGGGGAGACUGGAAUUCUCGGUGUAGCGGUGAAAUGCGUAGAUAUCGAGAGGAACACCUGCGGCGAAGGCGGGUUGCUGGGCGGCCACUGACGCUGAUGCGCGAAAGCCAGGGGAGCGAACGGG
rnacentral:rRNA from 1 species